rnacentral:lncRNA from 1 species
UGUUUUUUUUUUUUGGCUGAUUGUUUUGUACAAAUAUAAAUUAUCAUAUGAUAAUCCUCCACUAAGAAAUGCAAUAAAAAUCAACCUAAUUAUGUCCAACCUUGGUAGAUCCGAUUAUACAGGUAUUACAGGUCAUUGUCAUAAGCCACGCAACGCAUGGAUAGAAUUUUUUUUUUUUUUUUGUCUAAAUUCACUUGUGUCAUUCAAAACUUAAAUAAAGUCAUAGCUUUUAAGUAUUUAGGAGUGAUUUUAUAUUUGUUUAGUGUAUUUGAUUUUAUUUAAAUUUAUUAAGAUAUUUUAUUGAAAUUUUUUAAAUUUUAAAUAUUGAUUGUAAUCUAUUUAUGGACAUUUAAAUUUCUUUUUUUUUUAUAUUCAGGUCGUAUUCAGCUUUUUAUUAUUUUUUAAUUUUAUUAUAUUUUUUAAUAUAAUGAAUCAAAUUCUUAACAAAAAAUAAUUUUUAUAUUUACCCUUUAAAAAUCAUAAUGUAAUUUUUAUUUUAAAAUCAAAACGGGAUAUUAUUAUUGAUUUGGUGAAGGUUUCCUACAUUGAAAUUUGAAAGAGAUGUUAUCUUUAAAAAAGAAUUAUUAUCAUUACUGUGAACGUAACGUCUCUUUAGCUGAGACCAAUAUAUGUUUCAUUUUUAUUUUUUUAUUUAUAUUUUUCAUUUAUAUCAUAAAAAAGUGAUAUCACAUUUUUUAAAAAAUAUAUAUUAGGUUUCUUGAAAAAUAGAUAGGUAUGAGUUUUACAUACAAUAUUUAGUGAUAUAAAUGUAUAAAUGAAUCUAGCUAAUAUAAAUUUUGAAGAGUUUAUAUUUAAUUAUUUUUUUUAAAAUUUAAAUCGAAUAUUAAUAAAUUUAAAUUUAGAUCAUUUAGAAAAUAAGUUUACACGCGUAUAACUUUUAUUAAAUUUAGUUUAUAACAGUUUAAUUUAUUUGAGUUUUAAAAUAAUUUAUUUUAAUUAAAUGUGUAGAUAUAUAAAUUAACUCAUAAAUUUAUAAAUAUAAGUUUUUAAAUCUUAAUUAUUCAAAUAUAUAUAAGUUUUAUGAGCCUAAUUAAACUAUAUAAAACUGAAUUUAAUAAAAUUUAAAUUUGGCUUAUAUAAGUAUUGGUAGGAUUUGAGUUUAUUGCUCUUAUUAUAUUAAUUACUGCAUGUUUAAUAAUACUGUUCACGAGUUUAUUUACGAGUGUGUUUAUAAAUUUGAAAAUGAAUAUAAUACUACAAAGUUUAAAUUAGACCAUUUUAUUAAAUGAAUUUAAAAAUCAAACUCGAAUUUGGCUUAUUAAGAAAUUGAAUUGAAUUUGAUCAAAUUUUUACUAAGCAAAACCUUGAGUAGCUCAUAAAUAAUUUAGUUCAUACAUACCCCUAACAAUGAUCACAAUAAUGAAUUAUACCGAUAAAAAAAUAAUUAAUAAUUAUUUUUAUACUUUUAUUUUUUAAAAAAUAUUUUUUAUAUUUUUUAAUAUUUUUAAACACUUAUAAAUUUAGUUAAGAAAAAAUAUUUUUUUAUAAAAAAAUUAAAUUAUUUUUUAAAAAAUAAUAUUUUUUAAAGAGAAGUUAUUUUUUAUAUUUAUUAAAAUUUUUAUAUAUAAUUUUAUUAAUAAAUUAUAUUUUUUAAACUAAAAUUAAAUAAUAAAAAAGUUAUAUUAUUAAAAAAAUUUAAAAAAAUAUUUUUCAUAUAGAAUAUUUUUAAAUUAUUUUUCAUAAACUAACAGAAUCUUAAAAAAGUAAAAACAAGAAGGAAAGAAAUAAAAAGUGAUGAUAAGUAAAUAUUUUUUCCAUUUAUAAUUUUUGUAAUUUUAUUUGUUUUAAAAUUAAAGGUUAUCUUUAUAUUAUAGUAAUAUAUAAUUAAAAUAUUAUUAUUUUAUUUUAUUUUUUAAAAUUUAAAAUAUUAUUUAAUAUUUAAUAAAAUAAAAAUUUUAAAUUAUUUUUUAAUAUUUAAUAAAAUUUAAUAUAUUUAAGGGAAAUAUAAUUAAGAAAAAUUAGAAAAAAUCAUUUUUUAAAUAUUUAUAAAAGAAAUAAAGUAUAUAAAAAUUAUUUGCAGAAAACAUUAAUAAGGAAAAAUUAUAUUUUAGUCCCUAAAAUUUAACGUAAUUAACACUUAUGUCUUUUUAUUUUAGCUACCCAACACUUAAGUCUCUCACUUUUUUUUUUUCAUCCAAAUUCAUAGCCCUUCCAUUCAAAAUAGCCAUUUAGUCAAAUAGUUAAAGGUGGGAGGUAAAAAUUUUUUCUAAAAAUAAUCCGCUAUAUGUGAAAUCUCUCUUCAUUAUUCUCUUUUCUAUAUUCUUCAUUCUCUUUUAUCUAUUAUUGAUUGACUUUUUUUCUCCCUCUUUUCCUUUCUUCUCUAUUAUAUUUUUUCUAUUUUCUUCUGACAUUUUUUUUCUUUUUUCUUUUUUUCAUCUUUCUUCUCCCUUAUAUUUUUUCUAUUUUCUAUUCACAUUGUUGAUUUUCUUUUUUUUUUUCUUUUUUUCAUAUUUCUUCUCCCUAAAGCAUUAUUUGAGAGUUGCAAGAUUUUUUUUGGAGGGUCAAUAGAGAGAUGAGAGAGUGAAUUCUUACAGAAACAGAGAGAGAUUUGUUAUAAAAAGUAUAGGAAUUAUGAUGAGGAGACCGACAGUGAUUUGGAGAAGAAGAAUAAUCUAUAGUGAAGAAGUAUAAUCUACGAUAAAUAAGCAUUUAUAAUGAAGAAGCAUUAGAUUAGGUUUGGAUUUCAUGAUUUUGAAAUAGUAAAACUUUUAGUGUAAGUCAAUUUUAUCAAUUCACAUGUUCCAAACGGCUAUUUUGGAUGAAAGGAUUACGAAUUUGAACGAAAGAGAAAAUGAGAGAUUUAAGUGUUGAGUCGCCAAAAUAGAGAGAUAAAAGUGUUAAUUAUAUUAAAUUUUAUGGAUUAAAAAGUAAUUUUUCCUAUUAAUAAUUAAGAGGGGAUGCCAAGUUUGAUACCCACCGACUGCGAUUUGAAUAAAUUAGCUUUUCAGCAUUGAUUACGCUUCAUCUUCCCACUCUUCCUCUACCUAAAUUCAAAACUCCCUCUUUUCAUAAAAUUCUUGGCAGCGCCUCCUCUUAUCUUGCUCUACGGUGCACAUUGCGCACCCCAUGUCCCCAACCGCAUCUCCAACUUGCGGUCCUCAUUAAUUACACGCGCCACACUCGCGUUAAUAACCUUUUUUUUUUUUUAUCAGAGUAAUAAGCUAGGUCAAUUCUACGCUAUUGAUUUUUUUAAUUCAUAAUUAUACGCGAUAUUAUAUGUCUUUAAAUAUAUGUAUAUAUAUGGUUUAGUCGAAACGAAAGUGAAAUUUAGUUUUAUAUGAAAUAUAUUUCAUAUCCUAAAUUAAUAUUGUGAAUUGAAUACACCAGGUAAGUAAUUUCAAAACCUAACCUUCUAAAAAUUUUAAUCUAAAUUUUAUCAUUUUAACUUGUGGAUUUAAAUGUCAAAAUAAUUGUUAUUAAACACCAUUCCGUUCUAUUUAAUUUAUUCUUAUAUAAUAUAAUUAUUAUUAAAUAAUAAACAAUUAAAACUUAUGAAAACAUCAAUUAAUGUCAUAUACCAAAAUUUCAUUUGUUUUUAAAAAAUAAAUUAUAUUUAGAAAAUAUUUUUUACGUAAAAUAUCUUUCUUAAACAAUAUUUUUUAAAUAUCCUUGUUAAUUCGUAGAGAUUAACGAUUGAUAUAUUUCCUUUUUAUUUGAAAUGUGAAUUAUGAUGUUGUUAUAAUUUUUAAACUGUUAUAAGCUUAAAUGAAAGUUUAUUUUUAUAAAGUUAAUUAUUCAAAAAUAUUAAAUAAAUUCAAUAUAUAAAACGAGGGCAAUUAAAAAAUUAUAAGGGUAAUAUUUAAAAAACAAAACUUUGUUUGUAUAUAAUAACUAUCAGUAGCGAUAUUAUUUAUUUUUUAACAUGAACAUUUAAUAACUCAUGCAGCCAAAAAAUAGAGUUAUGCUAUAAUUGGUUAAACUUGCAAGAAAAAUAAUGUGAGGUGAUAGGUAUCCACGGUAACCACUUUGACACUUAAAUCAGUACAUUGGAAAAUAGGGCAAAUGUAAUAAAUUGUUUAAAGUUUGAGUAGUGCAAAAAUUGCAUACAUUUGCCUAUGUGAUCAUUCCCUUUUUUAUAUUGUAAGAUGAUGGAGAUAAAUACAAUAUUUUCUUAUGAUCUGGCAAAAAUGUGGUCGGCUAACCUAAUAAGGAAUCCCGUUGGAUUAACUAGUUGGGAAUUCCGUGAUUACAGGCGCAACAGGAGCAUGCUGGAUUGUGCCUGCUAAUAGUAGCUUUAUGCCGAGACUCGCUCUAUUCAGGAGAAGGCGAGUUUUGAUGAUAAAUCGGGUGUCGAGGUGUCCGAGCCUUUUUUUUUUUUGGGUGGGACCGCAUUUUUCCUUUAUGAGAUUCUUGCCACGUGACUCUGUCUUGUGGUGACAGCUCAUGACUCACUUUGGGUGAUUGUUAUGUAACAUCAGAGGUUCCCCGCUAGUCUUCGAUUCUUCAUAUUUGAAGGUGACAGUUAUUCUCAUGAUAUAGGGCACGUGGCUCAUUGAUAUUUGUUUUUUUCCUAGCUCACUCUGCUCUGCCUGCCUGGAUUUACAAUAAUACCUUUUCUAUUUCUCGAGCCACAUUUAAAGCUUGCCGUCAAAACCGUUUUAUAAGAACCUUUCUUCUUUUCCAAAUAUCACUUUUGCUCUCAACUGUAAUAUUUGCUUUCAGAAAGACUUGAUCGCUAUUUCUUUCCCGAAUACACUCCUUACUUUCAUAGUAAUUUAUUUUUCAUUUUAAAAAUCAAUAAGAAUACUUCCUCUUCUUCUCUUUCCCCUGAUGAGAGCUUCGCCUCAAACUCCUUUUCUGACGGCCCCAUCCGUGCCUUAGCUCCAAUCGUCCCACUAGGGGUGGCUCAAGAAGGCGAAGGCAGCCUAAUUGGUGACACUUUGUUCAUCUUAUCAGAGCGAGAUGUAGAUCAAUUUCACGAUAAUACCAAAUUCCUCUGAAGACUUUUCAUGUUUUUGCUCCUUCCUCGAACGUUCGUGUGAGCGACCUGAUUUUUGCAGAUGUUACUAUUAUGGUUUUCGAAUAGCAACUGAAGGCGAAUCUUCGGUUCUCCAUGAAUCCAUUUUUUAUUGAUGUCCUCCAAUUCAAUAAGUUUUUGGUCAACCAGUUGUAUCCCACAACUGGAGAAUUUUUGUGGUCUUCCAAUUUGUUUGUCUUAAUAACAACAUUGAAUUGAGCGUAGCCCUCUUCUCCCAACUGUACUAGCUGGAUACCGACAAAAAUAAGGAGUUCUGGUUUUUUAACGAGCGAAAAUGCCAAUGAUGUUUGAUCGGAUACCCUCUUUAUUAAAGCGAUGGAAAAAUAAGUUUUUUGUCAUUUGUCACCACACGUCUAGGGGUUUUGGGUGCCUCCAAACGAGCUAAAACUUAUAGGUGGAGCUGAGGAAGGAUAGGGUCCGACCGAGGAGGGAUGAGGAUGGGGCUUUAGUCUCUCUCUUGACAAUAGCUAAAUCCCCAAAGAAAAUGGACAUUACCAAAGCAGUGAGGGACACAGUUCUGUCUUAGCAGAGUCAUCUCCAAGUGGGCUAAACUCGGGGUCCUCACACGUCCAACUUUUCCAGCCUUGGAGAGAGCACUUCCCUGGCUAGAGACUAUGGUAUCUUUCUUUCUGCCUUCUUUUAAAUUUUAAUCUGUCUUACUUACUUACUUUUCAAUUUUCACAAAUAUGGUUGGGUCGUGAAGCAAAUUUGAUGAAGCGUAGCAUGCUGCCCGCAAAAGCAAGGUUGUCGCUGGGGCAAUCGGUCCCCUUACUAAACGUGCUCGCUGAAUAGAAAAAGUGAUCGUGCUUCCUCCUCCUCCUCUUCAACCUACAGUAGAAGAUUCGGCCUACUUUUAGCCUGAGUCUUCUUCCAUUAGCACCUUUGGGUCUGCCUCAUUUCUGAGCCUCCUACUGUCAUCCCUGCUCCCACUGAGCCCAUUCCUACAAAUAUAGGGGUUAACUCCUCAUGGUCUCCCAGCAUCCAACGCCUGGCAUUGGUCCUAACCCGGACACCUUCUCUCCUUGAUGAUCCUAACCUGACUUUCCUCUUGACUAAAAAUGUCCUGAGGCCCGGGGACUGAUGAUCGAACUUUUUGACAAUGUCACGCAUUCUACCCCAGAGAGUGCCUUCUAUGCCUAUGUGGCUAAGGACCGUAACAAAGUCUUGAGACGAAAUUUUGGUGCUUAGGAGACAGAUAGGAGGAUCUUGGUAGAGGAAUGCUCGAGACUAAAGGCCCCGGUUGACGAGAUGGAAGACACCAUGAAUGAGACUCUAGAGUCCGUGGACAAGUUGCAGACUGAGCUAAGAGAGGCCAAUGAUUCCAAACUGUCCUUGAGAAUCGGCAAAGUCUACCGAAGAUCAAGUGGCCCUACUGUAUCGCCAUGUCCUGGAACUUCAGGUUCAAGCUGAGGAGGCCCAAGUCACCUCUAUUAGAGUUACUGAGCUUGAGGCAGAACUUCAAAAAACAGUGGCCCAGGGUGGAGAGAUGUUCAUACAAGGCCAAGGCUCCAUUAAGAAGGAGCUCCUUAAGUACUUUCCUUCAGAGGACUUCUCCUGGAUCGAUAACAUUUUCUCUGAGGAGUAAAACGAGGAUGGGCGGGAUGAAGACAGGCUAAUUGAAGACAACUUUCCUGACCCAGCUUCUAGUACCUUAGCUAAUGAUGAACCUAUAACAGAAGUUCAGGAGGAAGUGACUGAUGAUGUCCCUCUUGCCCUGUAAUAUAUUUUUUAUUUGAAUGAAAAAUAUUUUAUUUUGAUAGUUUUGUAUGAUCAGUAUCCAGCCAUAAACCUUGUCUACUUAGGGCUUGAAUAAUUUCUUUUAAAAGAUUGCUAAAGGGUUAAUACCCGUCUACCAUAGUGAUGAUAAAUAACUUGAAAACUUUUGAACAACGGGUUAACACCCGGACAUAUGGUCUGGUGAGUGCCUGCUUUGGGCCUGAGAUACCUUAUAGGAUUUCCUAUAAUCUUGAGGCUAGUACUCUUUCGUGAAUACCCAUAUUGUGGCUUGGGCCUUAAAUGCCUCGAAAAUUUUUUAUGGGGCUAUCACCCGAUAGUGGAGUUUGGCGAAACUUGCCUUGUAGCCUGACACGAAUGCCCGAUCUUUCAAUCUAGCUUAUACUCGCCCUAUGGCCUUAGGCAUUAAAUGCCUUAUAACUUUUUAUAGGAGACUAACACCCAGUAGCUGAGCUUGGUGAAACUUGCCUCGUGGUUUGCCACAAAUGCCUUGAUUAAUGGGGCCAACGCUCGAUCUUUUGACCUACCUUAUAUUCGCCUUGUAGCAUUUAUUAGUGAAAUCAAUGCCCGAUCUUUUGACCUGGUUUAUACUCGCCUUGUGACCUUAAUUAGUGGGACCAGUGCCCGGAUUGUAGGUUGACAAAAUCUGCCUUAUGUCCUGGCCUGGCGAAACCUGCCUUGUGGCCUUUGUUUAUUUCUAUUUCUAUGGUCCAAUGUUUGAAUGGCCUGGUGACUGCCUUAUGGCCUUUGUUUAUAUUUUCACAAUCCAAUGUUCGGAUUAUGGCCUGACAAUUGCCUUAUGACCUUUAUUUGUUUCUGUUUUCACAGUCCAAUACCCGUAUGGCCUAGCGACUGCCUUAUGACCUUUGUUUAUGUUUUCACAGUCCAACACCUGGAUUAUGGCCUAGCGACUUCCUUAUGGCCUUUUAGCGGAACUAACAGCCGGAGAAUCUAGUGGGUUCCCGCCUUGUGACCUGGCAUGAGAUGCCUUGCUAUACGGGACCGAUACUCGGAUGGCCUUGUGGCCUUUUGUUGGGGCUAACACCUGGAUGGUCUGGCGAAUUCCCACCUCAUGGCUUUGCUCUUGUCUCCAUGCUUUCAUCCAACAUUUCUGAUUUUUCUAUAAAAAAACAAAUUAAAAAAUGCAUCUUAGCAUUUCCAUAAAUCAUGAAUUUUUUUUAAAUGAUAAAAUAAAAGGCUUGGUCGUUCAACUUGACUAGUUUCAAAACCCGAAGUUUGACUCGGAAGCUGAAUAUCUGUGACCUUCUCCUUAUUAGCACCCCUAUUAACACUUAGUCCUCCUGCAAUCACAUGAAUAAUCCCCAUAGGUUCACUAUUAGGGGUGAUUAUGGGAGUUGUUACCUCUAGCUCAAGCCUCCUAUAUUUUAUACUAUUUUUGAUGAACUUUCAGAGUGUGUCGUUUCUUAUCAAUCUCUUAAUCUUGUAUUUCAGCUGCUGGCAUUCCUUCGUUGUAUGUCCAUGGUCUUCAUGAAAAAUGGCAGUGCUUGGCUUAUCUUGCCUUUCAGCUUUCCCAGGGUUGAGUUUAAUAGGCCAUUUUAUUUUCUUAUUAUUUUUUCUAACCAACACCAAAAUAUAUGUCCAUGAGUCAUUCAGGAGAGUGUAAUUCUUAUACUUACCUCGAUCACUCCUUCUUCGGGAUACUGGUUAACUUUUGGAUUUUCCCUUAUCUUUUUGCUUCUCCAUUUUCUGGUCUUGUUUUUUACUCGUCCAUUUGUCAUCUUCCUAGCACCUCUGAGCAACUCGUGUUGGCUUUAGUCAACAUUCUUCGGAGCAUCGUCCGAUGAUUCCCCUUCCUCGAACUUGUCUUUCUCUUUGGAUCAUGUUUAGAAUGUCCCUGUCUGAGUCCUUGAAGUAAAGGCUUCCUUCCUUCCUUCGAGAGCCAUAAGUGACGCCUUCUUUCGAGCUUUGCAUUGAUCGAAAGUAACUUGCAACCUUCUAAUGUAUGGGAGCAUUUGCUCAAUGCUCAGAUUGUUGAGAUUUGCUUCGUUGAUCAUAGGGGGUGUUUUGUCCAUUGCCAAGAGUGGAAGAAAUGAUGGCGUCCUUAUUGGCAGCAAUCUUGGUAGCAGCUUGUGAACUACCAGCCAUUUCGAGAGAGAGAAGAGAGAGAUUUAUUUCUAAGAGAAAAGGAACAAGAGACUGGAUUUUAAUCCAAAUGAAUAUAAAGGAUUCAAUGGAUUUUUGACAACAAAAUCAAAUGAUCAGUCGAAAAGCAGAACUGUACUUUUAGAGUUUGAGUAGUGUAAGAAUUGCGUAUUUUUAUCUACGUGAUCGUUCCCCUUUUAUAUUGUAAAAGGACGGAGAUAAAUAUAGUAUCUUCUUAUGAUCCGGUAAUGAUGUGACCAACUAAUAUGAUAAGGGAUUCUGCCAAGUUAACUGGUAAAGAAUUCUAUGAUUGUAAGCAUAACGGGAGCACGCUGAAUUGUGCCUGCUAACGGUAACUUUAUAUCGAGACUCACUCUAUCUAUGGAGGGUGAGUUUUGAUAAUAAAUCAGAUAUUGAGGUGUUUGGCUCUUCAUUUUCUUUGGUGGAACCGCAUUUCUCCUUUAUCAGAUUCUUAUCGCGUGAUUCUGUUUUGUGGUAACAGUUCACCACUCACUUUAAAUAAUUGUUGUGUGAUUGUUAUGUAACCUCACUUUUAAAAAAUAUAUAUACAUAUAUUAUGGAGAAAUUGGUAAAGGAAAAUCAGACUUUCUACCAUUCUAUUUUGAGAGACGGUAAAAAAAAAAGUAAGAACAUGUUAAAAUGUUUUUUUUUUAAUCUUAUUUUCUACUUUUAGUCUACCUUAAAUUAUACUAUUUGAAUAAAAAAAAGAAAAUAAAAUAUUUUUUGUUCUUUGUUUAGAAAAAAAAGAGUCACUUUAUUUUAUUUAUAAUAUAUUCUAAUUGUAAAGAAAAUAAAAUAUAUAUAAAUAGGGAAAAUUUAUUAAUAAAUUGAAUAUAAAACUGAUUUAUUAUUAUUAUUGUGACCACAAUGUUUUUUUUCCCCAUAUUUUAGGUUUUCUAUUUUAGAAGGAGUUUCACAAAAUAGCAGUGUCAUGGCAACUCCUCUCGAAUUCGCACAACCUCCGCGUGCAGAAUACGCACGUUGGUGUUCUCUAUCGCAAGGGAUAUCCGUUUUUUGAAAAUUUUGAGGAAAGAUUACAAAAUAAAAAUUUAACACCUAAUUCCCCUCCAUUUUCUCGUUCAUUUCUGUCGCUCUCUCAAACCUCCAGCUCUGGAGGGGCCAUGGAGUUAUUCUCUCUAUAGGUUUCCCUGCUCUUCUAAUUUUCUUUCCCAAAUCAACAAUUUUCUGGGAAACAUUGUGGGAAUCUGAGAGGAGUUUUGACAUUUCUUCUUUUCGUGCAACUUAAGGUGUUUGUACAGAAUUUUAGGUUUUAUGAAAAAUUAUUGAAUUGAAAUUUUAGCGUUUGAUUUGGAAAUGCCGGCUCCCCGGUCGACACCGGAUAAGCAAGAUGAGGCAAAGCAGCUCCGGCGGGACCCAUACGAGGUUCUUGGCGUCUCCAGGAGCUCCACCGACCAGGAAAUCAAGAGCGCUUACCGCAAAAUGGCUCUCAAGUAUGUCAAAAAAAUUUUCUCUCUUAUUGUUUUGGUGAAUUUUAUUUUUAUUGGCUUGCUGUACAUGUGUAUUUGGCAUUUCCUUUUUCUGAUUUUUUUUUUGAAUUUUUUUAUUGAACUGUUGAAUGCCUUUUAUUUGAAAGGAUCGGUGUUGGAAGUGAUGGGAUAUUUGUUUGUAUUAUAGAAGUUGGAUAUUUUUUGGAGAUGAAAAGCUAUUUUCAAUUUUUUGGGACGAAGAAGAGGUUGAAUUUGACGAAUUUGGUAACUUUGUAGUACUCUCAAAUGACUUGGUGAGAUAUUUAAAAAUUUGAGAUCCUUUUCACUCGCCAGAAUUGAAGCUAUGGGUUAGAUGACGCCUACUGAUCUGGGAUUUAAUAGUUUGCGCUAAAUGUGGAAGCUACGAUAUAAAGUCUGCUAAAUGUCAAGCAUUAGAAUUUAGAAGGGAAUGAAGAAUCUGGACCUGCACGGUUUGUGGAAGACUAGUUUGAGAGUAUUGGACACGUUACUGAUGUGGUGUAUUUUGGAGAACUUUGGCAAUAAUAAGAAUGGGCAUAUCUGCCAAAUAAUUUCGUGACAUUGUUAAACUCAAGAGUAUGAGUGUUGUGAAAGCUACGGAAAACUAUAAGAGACUGCAAAUAGGAGAGUGGUAAUUCAAUUGGUCACUUGGUUUCAAAUGAAGCUUGAUUGAUCUAAAAUGCAAGCAAGUAAUUUAGCUGAAUAUGGUAUGCUUGCAAGCCUAGAUACAGCAUGCAAAUAGAAAAGUUGAUUUUUUUACAUUAUGAAAUAUGUAAAAAGAGGCGGAAAUCAAAAUUUAGUGUUUCUUUGAGAUAAGGUUAGGUGAUGAAUAUUGUUGCAGGAGCUCGUGACAUGAUGUGGCUAAAUGCAAAGCAAAACGUAUGCAACUUAUACUGAAUCACAAGGAAGGGAAAGGCAAAACGGGUUGCAGCAAAUGAUAUAACAAUACACUAUUUAUUGGCUUAGAAGGCCGCAUUCUCAGUUAGUAGUUAGUAGUUAGUAGUUAGUAGUUAGUAGAUGGUCACAUGGGGCUUUAACUCAUUCUAUAAUCCUUGAUCAAUAUCUUUUUAAUAACUCCCUUAUCACAUACCCAAUGUGGCAAUGUUAUGAGUGUUAAUAUGACUAUAUUUCAGUAACACUCAAUGUAUUAGAUAGGUCUAUUGGUUCAAAUGACAUGAUUAGUGGAACCUUUAUUGUUUUCAGACAAUGUAAUGGAUCUUGAGUCAUGUAUUUUAAAUCUUUAUUUGUUUUGUUUCCUUUCUCCUCUUAAGGUUCUUCUUUUGUUAAACUGGGUAUGGGUGUCUUUAAAUUCUAAUAAUGUACUAUUUCAGAUACCAUCCCGACAAGAAUGCAAAUGAUCCUGAAGCAGCUGAUAUGUUUAAAGAGGUUACAUUUUCCUAUAAUAUUUUGUCCGAUCCAGACAAGCGACGCCAGUAUGACUCAGCUGGUUUUGAGGUGAGGUAUCAGUGAAGUUGACUAACCCUUAAAAUUCUGAUGAUAAGUUCAUUUGUGGUCUUUCUUUGAUUGCGUGGUUUAUAAUCCAGGUCACAGACAUAGUGACAUAGUAAUAGCUGAUAGCAAUUUUUAAUGUGUGGUAGAAUUCGAAUCAUAAAUUUCCAUAUGUGUUUUAUGUGAUAGUUUAGUGUUAAACACAAUCUUAUUGCUGUUAUCAGGCUGUUGAAUCAGAAGGUCAAGAAUUGGAGUUAGAUCUUUCAAGCUUGGGCACUGUGAAUACUAUGUUUGCAGCCCUUUUUAGGUAGAUUAAUAUGAAUUCAUCAAUUGGAUCCCCCUCUUGUCCCCAACCAAUUUUUUUAUUUAUAUUUAUUUCUGAGGUUCACUGUUUUUUCAAUAUAGUAAACUUGGCGUGCCAAUUAAGACCACUGUAUCAGCAACUGUCUUGGAGGAGGCACUAAAUGGGGCAGUUUCUAUAUGUCCACUUACACUGGGGCAACCUAUUUCAAAAAAGGUUAGGUAUUUCAAUUCUGAAACAGUUAUCAAUUUUAGUAAUGUGUAAGGGCUCAUUGGAAGUUUUAUGUUUUUAAGCAGGUUGAAAGGCAGUGUGCUCACUUCUAUUCUGUCACAAUAACAGAAGAGGAAGCAAGGGCAGGCAUUGUCUGUCAAGUGCAUUCCUCUGACAAAAGCAAGUUCAAGGUUUGCAUGAAUUUAAACAUUUUAUCAGAACCGCCUUCACAAUGCGUGCUGGAUAUGCACAAAAUUGAUGUCUUUCCUACAUGUCUCAUAUUCGUUAAAGAUAUUCGUUUAGAGUAAGGGAUUUUAUAGAUCUUCAAAGGGAAGGGGGUCCAUAUGCUUAGCUGUUGGAUAAACUGCUUAUUCUAGUAACCUUGGUAGUUCUUGAGCAUAAUUUUGGUCUCGCUUUGAGAGCAUGUUCAAAGUCCACUAUUGAAUAUUGAUUGGAAUAUUAGGGUAAGUUAAGUGUAAGUUUAUGAUUCUAAGACGUAUGGAGAAAGUGCUGAUUAGAAAUGUCAUUUUGAGGAUAUGCCUUCUGAGAUUUGUGCACAAAGUGGUAGAGUACGGUUGCUUUUAUCAUGGAGCUCUAUGAGGAAGGUUAUUUUAUUGGAAAGCCACCAUGAAAAAUAUUAUAUGGCUAAAAGCUUUGGUUUAUGAUUUUGAGUUCUGAAAAUACAUCUAUGGAGCAGAAAUUUUUUUUUUUGGCCACUUUGAAGUAGGGAGUGCAGGCUGUGCAGCCUUGCUAAAAUUAAGGGAUGUGCUUUUUUAUUCUGGGUUUUUGGUUAAUUGGAACCUUAUGUUGGAUUGUGGUAUCUUGAUAAGGGGGAAUUAGAUGUUUAAGACUUAAGGUAAAGCAUAUUGUUGGAUGUGUAAUAGGAGUGAGCUGAGUUGAUCUGGUUUUAGUGAAUCCAUGUUAUGAUGUUUUGUCAAUAACACUGAAUUUUAUGUAAAAGUCCAUUAUUUUGUUGUCCUCUGAGUGGCACAUUUGUAAUAUGGCAUUCCAUAUGAGAAUCAGUACAGCCAAAAGCAGGUACAAUAAAUUGAUGUGGCUGACCCACAUUGCUGUGGUCAAGGCUAGAUUUUCUGGUUGAUUAUCAGGAGUUUUGGGUUUAUGUAUUUGGGCAUUGUGAUCCACCUCUCAUGAUAAAUUAAAUGGCAUAUGGUCUUUUAAUAAAAAUAGGAAGUAACUGAGGUGACAACCUCAAUUACUCUACUUUGUAGAAGGGGAAAAGAAGUGGAAGGUAUAAAACUUCCUUAUGCAAUGCUGAAAGGAUAUUUUUUGAAACAUUUGUCUCAAAUUCAUGCCUUCAUGGACAUAUAUGUUGUUUUUCUUUUGGAAAUUAUCAGUGAUUUUCUUUUUCAAGAGCAUAUCCUAUUAGUAUUAUUAGUUCGUUCAUUAUAUACUUGGAUUAUGUCAAUAAUGAGCUCUGCAUUGACCCAGUUCAUAUACCUAGAUUCUGUUAUCUCGAUUAUCACACUGAAAACUGCCAAGGGGGGGGGGGGUCGUCCAUUUAGUCUGUCUCCAAUACAAUUUUGAUUCUUCUGAACGCUGGUACAUUAAUUGGCUACACCUUCUUAAGUACCCCCAUCAAUUGAUUUUAUACUUGCUGAGUUCUUUACUGAUUCUUUAAUGAAUAUACAUAUAUAUUUUUCUCCAUCUGUGUGCAAUGGCCAUUAGUCUUACUCAUUGAUUUUCUCUCCACAGUUGUUGUAUUUUGAUCAGGAAGGAAAUGGACUGGGCCUUGCUCUGCAGGUAGAAAACACUCCCUUGUUGGUUUUAGAUGUUGCUUUUUGAAGCCAAAUCCACAGUUCAAGUAUUUUACUUAUUCCGGUACUAGAUGGAUCUUAGAGAAUGUCAGGGGUUGCUUAGUGUGUAGCCUCAACCAUGAAAUUGGAGAUAUUUGCAGAUUAUAAUGUGACUAUUAGAAGUGUCUUCUGGAUGCAUAGACAUCUGCUCAGCCCUAAAGAAAUUUUGGGUUUUCUUCUUUUAGAAGUGUCAGUCCUAUAGAUCCCCUAGUUAAGAUGCAUAAUUCUUUAUCAAAAGGGGCAUUGGUGGGAAACUUUUGCCUACAUUUGGUCUUGUUGCAUAGCUUAUCAUAUGGUUAGGCUUCUUAACAUGGAGACAUAUUUUAUUCUUUGUCUCCUUCUGUUUGUCUACGUAUUGAGCAGGAAUUUCCUUUUCCAGUAUAUAUUUUACUCCUCUUUAGCAAAAAAAUGUGGGGCGAAGUGGUUUUUGAUGCACAAAUUGAAAGUGUUAAUUUAUCAAUCAUCAAAUAAAACUCAAGUUCUUCACUUGUUAUCCUCUAGCAAAAAAUUGAAUAGCAUUUCUUUUUCUUGGUUUCCUAGUUAGAAUUGCUUGUUGCUUUUUUAAAGCAAAAUUUUCCAAUUCAAUAUGGUAAACUGGAAAAGUUCUUUCAUGUUUUUGAAUUAGUGUCACAAGUAGAGCAUGUAUUAUCAAAAGCUGAGUUGAAUGAUUACAGCACCAAGCACGUGCUCACUUGGUUAUAAAAUUCGACUCAACUUGGUUGAUCUUUGUUUUUUUGAGCUCGAACUUGGUUUGAUGAAAUACUAAGCUCUAGCUUAAUAAGAUGACUAUAGCUACAAGUUCAGAAUCUCAAAUUCAAGAUCUUAUAAGCUUAAUUGAUCUUGAACUAAAUAUUGGUUUUAAGUUUUCUUUUUACUUGUUUUUUAAAAUUAUAUAGCAAAAUAUAGGGUACAAGUAUGAUUUUGGAUAAGGUCGAUUAGGCUUGCAAGCCACUUCUGGCUAGUACUUGAACUUGACUUGCUAAGCGACUCAAGCUUAACUCAUUUUCAUCGAGUCAAUUUUAAGCAAUUUCAAGCUGCCUGCAAGUAGCAUCGUUUACACCCUACUAUGGCCCAAAAGUCCACUUCUGAUUGGCAGUUGUAGCUUAAAGGUUCAUAUAUAUGGAUGUCUCAAUGGUCAUUAUCAUUUGGAAUUUGGGGCAUAAUGUGCUUCUGUUAACCUCUUCCUUCAUAAUUUUUGGAUGUAGGAGGACAGUGCCAAAACUGGAAAGGUUACAUCUGCUGGAAUGUAUUUCCUAUGUUUUCCUGUUUAUCGGUUGGAUCAGACAGUCAACGCGGUAAGCUGGUGAUGUUGUAAAUCAUCUUUUCAUGUUAAGAUUUUAAAUUGCUUAUUCUUCUCCAUUUCAAUUUGGAAAUCAGAUUGCAGUUGCAAAGGAUGCUGAUGCUGCCUUCUUUAAGAAAUUGGAUGGGUUUCAGCCAUGUGAAAUAACUGAACUGAAGGCUGGGACCCAUGUUUUCGCUGUCUAUGGUCAGUUUUAAGAUUUUAUUGCUCUUUUCAGUUUUCUACGGUUCUUGAUUAUGCAUUUGGAUGAAAUUGCUUUGGUCUUCAUAUUCUGUCAUUUUUUCCAGGUGAUAAUUUUUUUAGGAGCGCAAAUUACUCAAUAGAAGCUCUCUGUGCUGCACCUUUUGUGGAAGAAAAAGAAAAGCUUAGAGGUGUUGAAGCUCAACUCCUUACAAAAAGGGUAGAGAUAUCAAAGUUUGAAACUGAAUACAGAGAGGUCUGCACUUACUUGAGCAGUGUAUAUCCAUGUAAAAUCGCUUUUAUUUUUACUAACGUUCACAUGGAAGACAGGUGUUGGCACAAUUUACAGACAUGACCAGUAGAUAUACAAAAGAAAUGCAAGAGGUGAGUUUGACCAUAAAAUUGUGUUUCUUUGUUCUGUAGGAGGAUGGAGUGAACUGAUCGUCUCUGAUUUACAAACUUUGUAUUUUUUGCAGAUUGAUGAGCUUCUUAAACAAUGGAAUGAAAUUCAUGCCUCAUACACUAUUGCUCCCCCAAUGAAGCGGAGUAUAAGUAAGGGCAGGAGUAAGGGGCCCUCCAGGGAGACCAAAGAAGAGGGACCAUUGGGAGAUAAGAAAGCUUCAAUGAGAGACAGAACUAAGAAAAAGAAAUGGUUCAAUAUCCACUUAAAAGUUGACAAGAGAAAGUCUUGUUAAAUAAGGUAAAAUCUAAGAUAUAUGCUUUUGUGAUCGUAUCUUCUGCACAUGCAUUUAGAAGUGGUUUUAUUUACUGUUUUGGGUUUCAUAUAGACAGAUAUGAGAAGUCGAACCAUAUCUUCAUAUGUGUCUCUGCACUGUUUAAAAUUUUCUGAUGGUUUUCGUGUUCUGCAAGCAAAGCUAUUAAUUAACCAUGUUUCAAUUGAUGAUAAAGUGAAAAUCAUUGUUGCCGUGGAGAUGCUCCAUUCUCCAGCUUGUUGAAGUAUGACUUCAUUGCUAUUGUAAAAUUCCUUAUUUUUUCAAUGUAUCAGUAGUUCUUUUGUUUCUUUAUGCGCAGAUUGUAAGGAAGCAUAUCUGUAAAUUGCAUUACUCAUUCAUGAAGAUCCUUUCAUCAGCUAGUGGGGAAAGUAAGGAUUCUAUACUUUUAGCAUAUUGACAACUUUUGUAUCGUUGUAGCGUUGGACAAUGAUCUGUUUGAUAGUUAGGGCAUUUCACUGAUUCCUUCACGUUUGAAAAUUUGUAGCAUUGUUUUCUUUUAUCCAACAGGAUUGUGUGAUUUACCAGCAAUUUUUCACAAGAAUGAAUUAAAAUUUUGACGAGGGUAAAGAAAUAUUAACGUAUCAAAUUAUUUAGGUAUUUGAGUUAGGAUACGAUCCUUGCGAUAGGUCGACCUUCACGUUUUGAUGAUAGUAGGUGGUGGAAUUGGUGCUAGCGCCCUUUUCUUUUCCUUUGAAUUGCAUAUUAUUGCAUUGCAAUAACACUAGCGGUACAAACAAGACUUGGCUUAUUGUUUGUCCUCCUAAGCUUCAGGCUCUACUUCUGAAGCUAGCUCAAUAUAUAAUGCUCUUUAGCUGUUUAAAAAAAGAAAAGAAAAACACAACGAGGCAUUUUGAUCGGCCAUUACCAGUUACGUGGCAAUUUGCCUUCGAGACAAAGCUUGGGUGUGCAAUCAAAUAUCAAAAUCAGGCUCAUUAUUAAAACUAUGCCCACAGAGAUUCCCACCACUUAACUGGAAAAGCCCACUGAGGUUUGUAUGAAAAAGGUUGCCUUUGCACGGUAGCACUAGGAGAAAGCUGCCCCAUUAACUCUCGUCGAGCAUUUUAAAAUAAUCAGCUGAAAGAACCCUAGGAUUUCACCAAGGGUAGACUUCCCCUGCUGGUUUUUAUAGAGACUCUUCCUUCUAUAACUUCCCUUCUAGAGUUCUAUAACUCCGACUUCUCUUUCUAGCUUCCCAAAAGGAUGUGAAAGAUAUAAGCCCGCAAGAAUUUUGCCCCCACAAAGUACAAUGGUUUGUAAAUAAUCUCCAGCUUCGUUUGCUAUAUUAGCCCAGGUCUUAUUUCAACCCGUUUAUUUUGAUUUGAUGAUUCAAUAUCGGGAAAUCGUGGGUUGAGAAAGAUUGGCUUCAGCCUAAGAAGCGUUGGAUUCGAGGCCGUCUCUGUAGUGAGAAUGAGGGCCUCCCACUGUGGAGAUGAGGCUGGUGUCGCGUUGGCAAGAAUAUUAAGAAUCAGAGUAUUAGACAAUGUCCGCGGAGUCACCGGAGUUCGAUUUCGAUAGCAGUUCCUGCGCAAGUGAUAACUUAAGAUGCAUCAUCGAGGGGGGCCAACUGGAAGUCCAACAAUUGAGGAUAACAAGCCUAUUAUCUAGAAUUCCAUAUUCAUAUCCCUAAGCCCAAUUUAGAAAAGCUACAGGCCUAAGUUCAGCUCAACAUCGCCAUUGAGGCUUUGUCGAAUGAAGUAGAGGAGACGAAGAUGGAACUGUCGCAGUCUUCGACGGCACAAUUGUGGAAGAACAGGCGGAGAUCUUGUCCCAUUAUCUCGAAGAAAUAUGGGCAUGUUAUGUUAUAAUGGUUGGGGAAGAGUUGGGAUUGUGAAAUGGGAGGCAUGAGGAAAAGUGGAGAACAAAUUUAAAGAGGGAUUUGGGUGAAAGAGAAGCUUUAAAGGGAAAGUAAUAAUACAUAUUUGAACUUUUAUUCAAUUCAUGUGGGUUUCUCUGGAUUGGUAAAGCUGUGGUGAGAGUAAAAAAUUAUAAACUUAUAAUAUAAAUCCAGCUACAACUAUGACUGAAUCUUAAAUUUAAAUUUUAUCAUAUUUGAUAAAUUGUCAAGAUUUUUAAAGGUUUACAUGACAAUUAAUGGUUUUCAAUGUAUUAAUACUCAACUCGUGAGGUUUUAAAUUUAAAUCUACUUAAAACUAAUGAUAUUAAAAGAAUAAUUGAAUAAUUACCAAUAAUAAUAGAGAUAAAUGCUGUGAGAACAAGAAUUUUUACUUUUUAAAAAAAUAUUUCAUUAAGAUUUAGGCUAAGCCCAAUAGAAGAAAAAAAAAUCUGAUUUGCAAUGAAAAAAAAAUUUCAAACAUUUAAUAAUAAGAAAGUCUAAAUCCAAAAUAUAACCAGAAGAUUUUAGAGUUUUAAAUACCGCCGUAUAAAAUAUCGUCGGCCACCGGAAUAUCGAGAAGCCAUUAACAUCUUUGCAUAGCAAAAUAACCAACUCUUUUUCAUAGGCUCAAUCGUAAAGUAACCGCAAACUUAGGCUCAAUAGUAAAGUAACCACAAGCAAGUUUGUAGGCUUUUUUUAGUUUAUAAGCUGAUAAAAUAUUAUACAUAAGAAUGUUAAUGAACUUAAUAAGUUAAUUUCAUCAGUUUAUAAAUUAAGACAAAUGACAAAUUUCCUUAAUCUGCUGUAUUGUUUUUAAACUAUAAUCAGGAGAAUCAUUCAUAUCAUUAGGGAACAGAUGUAUCUAAAUAUGCAAUUGUAGCUUGUUAACAAGUUAAUUAAGCAAUUUGAGAUUUUUUGCUUUUUUUUUAACAACUGACCAUUGACUUGGUGCUUUACGCAACGUAUAAUCUUCUCAAUUUUCUCAUCUAACCAUAAUUAACUUUUGAAAAAAAAAAAAAGGAGAAAUGAAAAAGUAGACGCAUUUUUUCACUUAAAUAAAACGUGAAACAUUCUCUGUUAAAGUUUUUACCCAUGGAAAAAUAUGUAAAAGGUUUUGCUUGAGUUGCCUAACAAAUUGAUCUUCUUAAAAAUAUAAUUAAAUAUUUUUAUAAUUUUCCCAUGAAUUUUAUAUAUAAGGAUAGAAUUUGAAGUGUAGACACUCAUGUCUUCAUUUGCUAAACCAGUAAUUUACCUUUAAUCACUAUGUUAAAUUAUAUGUAUUUUAUUAAAUACAAGAGCAGAGUUCAAAACUACAUAAUACUGAAUCACUUAAGCAAAUCAAUUCCACUGAAAAUUAAAAUUUGAUUUAGUCUAUUUUAAUUAUCAAAAUUUUAAAAAAUUAAUCAAAAUAAAUUCAAAUAAACCAGAUAAUAUUCCACCAAUAAAGAUUAAAUGAUUGAAAAUUUUAAAAUUUAGAUAGAUUUAAAACGACUUUCAAACGAUUCAAAUAUAAGAUGAUUUAAUUGAUUUAAUGACACCAAUUUCAUUGAUUUAAUAAUUGAUCUGGACUUGAAAAUUUUAUAAAAUUUAACUUUUAAAAUAUAAUAGACUAAUAAUUUAAUAAUAUUUUUUAAAGAGAAAAAAAAAACCUUGAACUCGUGUAUGUAAUUUGAAUUAAUUAAUUAAUAUUGUGCUUGAAUUCAUGAAUUUAAAUCUAUGAAUUGGAUUUAGACAAAAUAUUUUGUUUGAAAAGUUUAAACAAAUAUGAAUUUGGGUUGCAGUGAAAUUCAAGAUAAAAAUAAAGGCUUAAAAAUGAGAAUUUCAAAUACUAAUAGUAACUAAUGACCGCUGGAUUUCUUCACCCCGGUUUGGGGUCAGGCCCAUGAUACCAGCCCAUUAUGUAGAGGCCCUCAAGCCUCACACAUGCACCAAAUCCGAUCCGCUCAGCCUUGAGACCGAACUCUCGUUAGUCUCUUCAACCAGGCCGGCCCAGCAUUGUCGGCCCACCGAACAGAUACUCUCUGGGUUCAGUCUUGAUUCUACCUUUCGGCCCAGCUCAGGAUCAGGAGGGAGGCCUACCCAUCCGUCACAGGGGACCACCCGCAUGCGCGCCCGGGAAGAAUCAGGGGGCCAUUACGCAUGGGACAGAGAUUUGAUUCCCUCGUACGUCCGUAUCAACGUAGCAAGGACAGGUGGUCCAAUGAUAUACGUUCUGUUAACACGUCACUAGCAGACAAAAAGAGACAUAUAAAAGGAGAAAUACUCUCCUCUAGGUCGAAGUUUUUCCAGUUUUACAGAACCCAUUAUAAAACCCUAUUUUUCUGGAUCUCAGAUCAUCAGUAACUAUAUGUUUUUUUUCUGAACUAUAUAUUAUUUGAAAUUCACAUUGAAUCUAAAAAGAAAAGUUAAAUAUUAUAUUAAAUUUUAAAUUAUAAAUUAUUUUUAUUAGUCAAACAUGGUUUCUAAUUUCAAAUUUUAGUAUUUAACAUUUAUUAUUUUAAAUUGAAUUCGACCAUAUUAUAACAUGAAGGGAAUAAUAUAAAUUAGCCAACUUUUGGUGGGGAGGUGAUGGAAAGAGCAUUAAAAUGCAUGAUUAGCCCACAACGAUCUUGUUUAUUUAAAUUUUAUAGAGGUAUGGAGUUUAAAGAUUUUGAAAAUUUUAAUAUUGCAUACUUAUCUAAGCAAUGUUGGUGCAUACUUUAAAAUCCAUCUAGCUUAUGAGUUUUAACUUCUUAAAAGUACAUACUUUCCUCGCUUUUUUAUAUGAAAUGCAUGAGUCAAAAAGCGAUGGUUUUGGAUUUGGCAAGGGAUAUUGGCCGGUAGGAAUAUUGCAAACUUAGUUAAGCAAUGUUGGCGCCUACUUUAAAAUCCAUCCAGUUUAUGGGCUUAACUUCUUAAAUGUAUAUACUUUCCUCGCUUUUCUAUAUAUAAUGCAUGAGUUAAGAAGCAAUGAUCUUGGAUUUGACAAGGGAUAUUGGCCGGUAGGAAUGUGUUUAAGGAAGGCGUCCGAAUAAAUAUUGGAAAUGGUUUUAACUCUUAUUUAUUUGGCAAGAUCCAUGAAUUCCAGGUGUGCCUAAUCUUCGUCUAGUUAAGCCACCUCAUUGCUCUCUUCAUAUUAAUUUAGUGGUAGAUUUAGUAGAUCAAAGUGAUCUGAACUGAAAUUAUCAGCUGGUGCAUCACAUUUUUUCUUUGUAUCAUGCUAGGACUAUUCUCUCUAUUCUAUAGGCUUUAUAGGCACUUUAGGCUUUAUAGGCACUUUAGAUUCCUUGAUUUGGCACUUUGAGUAGAGUGGAUAAUAUAUUGUUAACUCAUGCUAUAGGUAUCUUACCCAACAUUCCUUUACCCAAAUUUCUAUCUUGCUUCCUUCCUCUUCGACUAUCCUUUCAAAGUCGAUUUAGUAAAAGACGUGAACUCUUCAGAUUCAGCCUAAAUUUAAAGUUUUUAUAUAGCGUUUACUUCAUAAUGUAGUCCAUGUAAUGCAUAAUUUAGUUUUACGUGGCAUUCAAGUUUCUCCUAUAUAUUUCUUUUGUCUUACACAUUUUGAAAUGCUGGAAUAUGGUUUUUUCUUUGUUCCCAUGUUAGAGCUACUUAGUUUUUGAGUCCGUAUACCUAUAAACAUGUGCUUGUCAGUUUUUUGAGUUUUUCUGUCUAGUGAGGUACCCUAUGAGAUUAAUUUAAGACAGAGUCAGAUUGUGAUGCCAUUAUAAAGCUUCUUUAUUUUACUUUGUGGCAUAUAUAGAAGGUACAGAGUUUUUUAAUUCAUACUUUCAUAUCCUUCAUCUCACAUUACUCUUAACAUUGUGGAGUUUAGAUAGUUUGAAAUUUUUGCGACUUUUUUAUCGCGCAACUCUCCGUGCCAAUUUCAAAAUGAGUUUGUUACCUUUUCCUCAUGAGACUUUAAAAUAUAACAUUGAUGCUGAUUGAAAAAGUCAAUUUUCUCGAGUUGCUAUUUCUGUGGUAGUUCGCAAUAGUAAUAGUGUUUUAGUAGAUGAAGUAGCUAAACGUAUUUGGAGUUAUUAUCCGCUAGUUGUAGAGGUUCGUGCAGUUCUUAAAACUCUUCAGUUAAGUUUAACUCAAUGUUCUAGAUCAAUUAUUUGUGCCAUUGACUCAGAGAUCUUAUUUGCAAUGUUAACUAAUGUGACUUUUUCGCUAUCUUCUGACAUUUUGGCUACUAUUGCAGUUAUUUGGUUUUUGCGCUAUCAGCUGAGUGAUAUGUCUUUUAAACUUAUGCAUCGAAAAAACAAUAAAGCUGUUGAUGUAGUUAUUAAGUUUUGUUUAAAAAAUGUUUUGUCCUCUGAUUGAAUUGUAGCCGGUCCUCGAGAACUAGUCUCAAUUUUGUAAAUUAUGCUAUAUUUACAGCGAUACAAUGCAUUACCAAUACAGGUAAAAAAAAUUUGAUAUAAAUUAAAUAAAAAAUAAACUUAAUCCUAUGUGUGAUAUUUUAAAAGAUCACAUUGUUUGAUUUAUUUUUUUUUUCAAUUAAUAAUUUAUGACCUCUCAAACAGAUAAUUUAUUUGUUCAGUAAACUCAUUGAAUAUGCUAUUGAUGGCUAAUAGUUACUUAUAUUAGUUACAUUUUUAAUUUUAAAAUCUUUUUUAUCAACUUAUUUUUUUAUGUCAUAUAAUUUCUUUUAUUUAUUAAUUUUAAACUUUAUAAUUAUAAAUACAAAAAAAUUAUACAAAUAAUUACAUUAGCUAUAAGGUUUAUUUUUAUAUAAUAAUAAAUGUAUAUGUAUAAAAAAUUAUAUUUUAUUAGCAACUUUUUAAAUCACAUAUAUAUUUUUAUAUAUAAUAAACUAUUAAUUAUAUCUAUAUUCUAAUAAUAAAUAAAUAAUAUAAUAUAUACUUUUAUUUAUCAUUUUAUAAUAUUAUCUUUAUCUCACAAUAUUUUUUGUAUUCGUUAAAUCAGUAAAAAUAAUUAAUAACAUCAAUUUUAAAAAAUUUAUAAUAAUUUAUUUAAAAUAUCCUUUAAAUAAUUAUAUAUUUUUUAAUAUAAUAAUAUUAAAUGAUUUAAAAAUUAAUAAAAGUAUGUGUGAAAAAUAAAAAUCAAUAUUUCUUUAAAAUUUUUAAAAUGAUAAGUAAUAUGAGAUAUAAAAAUUUUAUCUCAAACCGCAUUAUUAUAAGAGGGACAUAAUAAUAAUAAUUUAUAAAUUAUUUAGAUAUUUUAAUUGCUAUUAGCUAUUAAAUAUUAAUUAUAAUAAGCAGUUAAAUCAAAUAAAAUAUAAGUGAAAAGAAAUUUUUAAAUGAAUUUAGUUGAUUAUAAAUUUAAGAGGAUUCUUAAGAAUUGAUUCAGUCAAAUAUUUAAGUUGACUGUGAAUGAAAAUUGCCGUAAUUAAUAAAGGAUUGUGAUAAGGGAAGGGUAGUGUAAAGUCACAUCGAAGUGAUCAUUGGAGUCAUCCCGUCUCGUCUCCAGCUUAAGAAACCUCUUCUUUUUAGGUUUUGGAGGAUUUGGAUGUUCCUUCUCGUCUUUCUCCAACGUUUCCACGCGUGAAAACUGACCAUACGCUAUAAACCGACCGCCUACAUUCACACUUCGCCGCUUUCUUCUUUUUUUUUUUUUAAAAUUAUUUUUAUACUUUAACCUCUGUUUUUUUUCCACAGAAAAAUAAUUAAUAUUUAAAAACAUUAUUAAUACAAAUAUUUUGUGUAAAUUUUUAUUUUUAUUAUAAAAAAUUAUAACCUAAAUCGAAUUUAUGUCAUCCGUGAUGUAACAUAAAGGUGAAAUUCAUAUCAAAUUUAUAUAUUUACACGGUAUGUUCUUUUAAAUCCGAUUUCAAUAAAUUUUUUCCUGAUGAAGCAAUCGAAAGUUGAUAAGGAGUGCCAGAGCUUCUGGCUUCGUGUCGAAACAAUAACCAUUCAAUACAAAGAUGAUGAGGAAGACAUCAAAUCAGGAAUGUUUUUGUUUUGUUUCUGUUUGUGUUUGUGUUUCAAUCACGCUAAUAAUGUGCCACUGCCAACCCACUCUCCACGUGGGAAUGCUUUGUGAUUGGACGUCACCUUUUUGUAUGCUCUAUUUUCUAUCUCCUUUUGUUUUACACAUUAUGGUUUCCAUAUCAAAUUUGUAUACCAUUAUUGAUUCAUUUACCCAUGUGAUCCACGUGCUUAUUAAUAUUUCGAAUAAUUUUCUCAUCCAACAAGAUAUAGAAAUUAUUAUUUUUCCUAAUAAAAAUAUUUAUUUUUAUAUAAUAAUUACUUACCUUAGAUAAUUUUAUAUUAAAAAAUUUUCAAUUAGACUCGAUUUAUCAUAUAUAUAUAUAUAUAUAUUUGUUUCUGUAAGGGCAAAUAUUUCUCAAUGACAGCGUUCUUAUAAAUUAUGCAGUGUUGUCACAAUCCAUUGCCCCCAGUCGGCCCAGUCCAACAGCUGAGAGUUGGUGCUUUCCGUCUAAUCCAACUUUGGUGGCAAAAGUAAAAGAGGUGGGGUAAAUGUGUUUUUCCAUUUAAAAAAAAAUUAUAUAUAUAUAAUUUUUUACAUUAUAAUGUAUGAUUAUUAUUCCUGCACUUAUUCAUACUCCUUUUGGUAUAUUAGGUUAUAGGCGGAUUAGAUAAUUCAAUUGAAAAAAGGAAAAAUAUAGGUAAAGUUUUAUUAAUUUGUAAUGUAGCUCUAAAAUGGAAAAUUCACUUGACCAAAAUAACUAUUGGGUUGUUCUAUUUUAUACACAAUUUGUUAUUUUUUUUUCCAUUAAUAACUAGAAAAACAAAUAGUCACCUUCAAGAUUGCCAUCACCAAAUUAGUGAAUAUUAAUUAAUAAUAUUUUAAUAUUUAUUUAUUAAACUCUAAAUUUUUAUAAAAUAAUAAAAUUACCAUUGUAAUUCAAGAGUAAUUUAUAAAAAUUUAGAAUAGGAUAGUAAGAUAUAAAAAUACAAUUUAUGAUUUGUUUCUCUAAUUAUGAUUAAUUUAUUAAUAGUAAUAUUUUUAAAAUAUAUACUAUUAAAACUUUAAUGUUAUCAAUAUAUAUAUUGUUCAAGUCAAUUCUGCUACUGCUUCCGCCUGAUGGAAGUGAGAAGAUGUGAAAACAGUUGUUAAAAAAAGCUUGAGCCUCAAAUUUUCUCAAAUAUAAUAAAAACAGAGUCAUAGUCAUUGAAUUGAAAAAACGAAAACCACUUUUGAAAAGAAUGUAAAAUUAAAUGGCUGUUGACUAUUGAAUCGGAUGGCUGCCUAAAACGAAAAAAAAAAUCUAAUUUAAAUAAGGAGUUAGAUUAUUUUAGUGAAAGAAAAAGGAGAAAAAGUUGCGUGCUGUGCCGGCCAAGGGUGCGGCGGGCUAGCCGCUGGGGCAAGGGCUAGGCAAGAAAAUUCCAGUUUGGCAUGUAUUUCACCAAUACAAAUUAUUGUACUGUCCAAGUCUAAUUUCUAAACUCACAGUAACAUUAAAAAUAAUUAUGGAAAAAAAAACGUGACAAAAUUGAGAGGAUAGGCAUAUAUAAAUAUCGCGUGGAUGCUAUUCAAAAUUUAAUCCAAUCACCAACAGCUUUGAACUUGCUCUAUGGCCCCUUUCUUCCUACGCUUUCUCCUUAUCUCCAUAGUCAUAUGCUUCUCCUUUUCUUUCCACUCUCCAAAUGAAAACUCAUUCCACUCUAUUAAAUCUUUCCAGAAUGCUUCCAUUAAAGACCGGAUUUUUGAGCUUGCUAAUGAUCACUCCACGGUCAAUUGGAUGAAGAAGGUCAGGAGAAAAAUUCAUCUGAACCCUGAACUUGCAUUUCAAGAAUUCGAGACCAGUAAGCUCAUUAGACAAGAACUUGAUCAGCUUGGUGUUCCUUAUCAAUGGCCUGUCGCAGGAACCGGUGUAGUGGCUGCAAUUGGAUCUGGUUCGCCGCCUUUUGUCGCUUUAAGAGCUGAUAUGGACGCUUUGCCUAUUCAGGUCAGUUCAAUUCUGUUUUCUGAAUUUAUUGUCUAUGAGAUGGAGGAAAUUUCAAGAUAUAUUUGUUUAAUCUUUAGAUUAGAUUAAAAUUUGUGAAAGGUAUGCAAGAAGAAUUCUUUAUUCGCUUCUGGGACACAACUUGGCUGGCAAUUCUUUAUUGUAACACCUGCUGGAGCAGAGUUAUUAGAUGAAAACAAAUCACUUGAUUAAAGUUCUUAACGAAACAAGCGGCAGGAAAAUUAUUUACAAGUUAUUAACUUGGAUUUUGCUUGUUGCUUAUAGGAAUUGACUGAAUGGGAGUACAAGAGUAGAAUAGAUGGGAAAAUGCAUGCCUGUGGCCAUGAUGCGCAUGUUGCGAUGCUUCUUGGCGCUGCAAAGAUUCUGCAAGAGUUGAGGCAUACAUUGCAGGUACAUGUGUGGAUUUCACUAGGUGCUAAUAUUUUACCAUCUCAAUUGACUUGAUGAGUACUGAAUUAGUGACUCUAAAUUCAGGGAACUGUUAUUCUUAUAUUUCAACCAGCAGAGGAACAAGGGCAAGGUGCAAAAGCCAUGAUUGAAGAAGGGGUGCUUGAUAAUGUGGAGGCCAUUUUCGGAAUGCACCUGGUUCAAAGGUAUCCAACUGGAGUCGUUGCUUCUCGGCCUGGAGAAUUCCUUGCUGGCUGUGGGAGCUUCAAAGCAAAGAUAAGUGGCAGAGGGGGUCACGCCGCCAUUCCUCAACAAUCCAUUGAUCCAAUCUUGGCAGCUUCAGCUUCAGUAAUUAGCUUGCAACAGAUAGUUUCAAGAGAGACAGAUCCUCUAGAUUCUCAGGUACCAUAAAAUAUCAGUUGUAUAUAAGGAUUCAAGUUCUGGAGUCUCUAAAUUAAACAGAUUCUAAAUCCUUCCAUAAUUUCCAGGUGGUUUCUGUGUCCAUGAUAAAUGGAGGAUCCGCAUUUAAUGUGAUACCGGACUCGGCCACAAUCGGUGGAACUUUCAGGGCUUUCAGCCAGAAGAAUUUCCAUGCACUGAGGGAAAGAAUAGAAGAGGUAAUUAAAGGGCAAGCAGCUGUACACAGGUGCUCUUCUCAGAUUGAUUUCAAUGGAAAUGAAAAUCCCACAAUUCCUCCAACCAUAAACGACGCUAAAAUCCAUGAACAUGCACGGCGGGUUUCAAUUGAACUAGUGGGAGAAGAGAACGCUCAAGCAGCUCCUACCUUCAUGGGGAGCGAAGAUUUUGCAUUCUACCUGGAAAAAGUGCCUGGAUCCUUCUUGCUUUUGGGCAUAAGAAAUGAGAAAAUUGGGAGUAUACAUCCUCCACAUAGCCCUUAUUUCACCGUAGACGAGGAUGUGUUUCCCAUUGGAGCAGCCAUACAUGCAGCCUUUGCGUAUUCUUACCUUUCAAAUUCAACAGCAACUUUGAGUUCUUACUGAUUAUGAUUCAAAGGUUCAGAAUAAUUUGAUUUAUUUUUCAGAUUUUGAUUGCUCUCUUCAGAAGAUGAACAAUCAUUUUUCUUCAUGUAGAGGAGGCCUUUAAUCUUUACACAAGGCUUUGUAGAUUGGAAAAUUAGAAAAUUUUAAUGUGAUAUCAAUUGUAUAUCUGUGAUUACUUGCGAACUUCUUUCAUUAACACAGAAUCUAAUUUUGUCAUCACUUAUCAAUUCUACGGCUAGUGGUCUAGUCUUGUGUUAAAAUAAAUCAAAAUCUUGAGGAAGAUGAAAUCUUACAGAAAAAUCAUGUGAUCUUUAUUAAUAAUGUAAAGUAACAGACUUAUUAAUCAUGAACAGUAAGACACCAGAAUACAAGUGUGACGAAACUCAAACCAGAACAAACCUUGUAACAGGCAACAAAUUAAAUAUACAACCAUGGAAAACGAAGCUAGCUCACAUUCGUUCUCUAACAACAAGAAGUGAGAAAACGAAAGCCAAGAAUCCAAUCACCAUCGAUGGAGAGACAAAGGUAGUGCUUGAAUUUGGGGCAGGAGCUGGGGACAUAUCCAUGCCGGGCGUAUGCUCAUGGCCCUCAUGAGCAGCAGCAACCAUAACCAACAAAGCAAAACAGGCAGCAAGCAUUCUCGUAGCCAUCCCAAAACCCAUAUACUCUGUAAUUAGAGAAUUGGGUAUAUAAAUAUGGAAUGGUAAUGGUUAUAUUUUGCAGUUGACUGGACUUACAUAGCAGUGGGAGAUGACUGAUGAGCAUACGGCUGGCCAUUUGCCGCCCCCUAAUAACGCUCGAUAUGGUCAAGGACUCAAGGUGGGUGGUACAAGUUGUAGUACGAGCAUUUAAGUGUUGUUAUAAUCUAUUGUUGAUGUUAAUUUUGAUUAUCAUCCUUAAUUUCCAUUAAAGAUUGUACUAUAGAACAUAAAUUUGUACUACAAACAUAUGUACAUAUGUACAUAUGUAUGGCAGUUUUCUACAGAAAUCCGUCUGGGAUUUUUGAGAAAAAAGUUUCCAUGUUUGAUUUCAA